UACGAAGGGUGCAAGCGUUACUCGGAAUUACUGGGCGUAAAGCGUGCGUAGGUGGUUUGUUAAGUCUGAUGUGAAAGCCCUGGGCUCAACCUGGGAAUUGCAUUGGAUACUGGCAGGCUAGAGUGCGGUAGAGGAUGGCGGAAUUCCCGGUGUAGCAGUGAAAUGCGUAGAGAUCGGGAGGAACAUCUGUGGCGAAGGCGGCCAUCUGGACGGUGACUGACGCUGAGACGCGAAAGCGUGGGGAGCAAACAGG
rnacentral:rRNA from 1 species